rnacentral:rRNA from 1 species
GCUCAGGAUGAACGCUGGCGGCGUGCUUAACACAUGCAAGUCGAACGAAGAGGGUUAGAAUGAGAGCUUCGGCAGGAUUUCUUUCCAUCUUAGUGGCGGACGGGUGAGUAACGUGUGGGCAACCUGCCCUGUACUGUGGAAUAAUCAUUGGAAACGAUGACUAAUACCGCAUGUGGUCCUCGGAAGGCAUCUUCUGAGGAAGAAAGGAUUUAUUCGGUACAGGAUGGGCCCGCAUCUGAUUAGCUAGUUGGUGAGAUAACAGCCCACCAAGGCGACGAUCAGUAGCCGACCUGAGAGGGUGAUCGGCCACAUUGGGACUGAGACACGGCCCAAACUCCUACGGGAGGCAGCAGUA